rnacentral:rRNA from 1 species
UACUACGGCCAUGCUACCCUCUAUAAGCUCGAUCCCGUCUGAUCUCAGAAGCUAAGCAGGGUUGGGCCUGGUUAGUACUUGGAUGGGAGCACCUAGGAAGACCAGGUGCUGUAGGCA